rnacentral:piRNA from 1 species
UGAGAUUCUGUUAAGAAUGCUUGAUCUGAGG